ensembl:lncRNA
UUUAUAAAACGAGCUCACGGAAUGAUGAAACAUGCUCACAAAUGACUAAAACCUGUGCAUGAAUUGAUAUAAAACGUGCUCAUAGUUUAUAAAAUCAGCUCACGAAUUGUGAAACGUCACCCAAGAGGCUAAGGAGACCAUCUCAACCACCACCACCCAUUCCUGAAUUCUGACCAACGGGAACACACACAGGACAACUGACACACACCACAGACACACAACAUGCAUGUGCUGCUUUCCAAGCUCCGAGGUUUCUCCUGGCACUGCUGAGAGGACGGCCUGCUCUUAUGAUGCCUUAUUUAUCCUUCCUUCAUCUUUCCGCUGAGCUAAAGACUAUCGUCCACCUGAUAGAGAAGGACCCAAGGAUAUGCUACACAGGUGACCAGGCUCUUCAGCAGUCCUGGUACAGUGCACGCACACACACACCGUCUUGCACCUAUUCUUGUGCCCCACCCCAACAGAGCCUGGCCCUCAUGUCUCUCUCCCUCCCUCAGGAUUGCUGGAGACACAGCCCUGGAUAAGAACAUCCGUGAAUCUGUCAGCGCCAAGUGACAGCAAGCAUUUAAUGCCACAGCUGUGGUCCGUUACGAGGCUUCUCCAGGUGGCUCCCAGCCAGACCACCCUGCCCAGCCCCUGUAGAAGUCACCUUCUGCUGGCUGAGGCUAAAGAAUACACAGGUCAAUGGUGGGGAGGAGGGAAGAGGGAAUCGAUGAUGCCAACAGAGAAGGUCACUUGCACUAGAUUGGGGAGAGUGAAGGAUGAGGAGAUGAAAGGAAAGGAGAGGAAGGCUGAAUGAGCGGUGUCAUACGUACCCAGGGUGGCAGGUAUCCUAGCGGUUAAGAGCAUUGGGUCAGUCAGCGGUUGAGAGCAUUGGUAAUUGAAAGGUCGCUGGUUCGAAUCCCUGAGCCAUCAAGAUGGAAAAAUCUGCCAUUCUACCUUUGAGAAAGGCAGUUAACCCCCAACAACUGCUCCCUGGGUGCCGAUGACGUCGAUUAGUGCAUCCAUCAGCACCUCUCUGAUUCAGGGGGAGUGAGUUAAAUGCGGAAGACACAUUUCCAUUGAAUGCAUUCAGUGCAACUGACUAGGUAGCCCCUAAUACUGGGUGAUAUUAUUUUGGGACAGAGCUUGGACAGUGUUUUUUUAACUUAUACUUUUUUUAAUGUACGUCUGCCAUUUUCAUCUCUGUAUUUCUGUACAUGUUUUUUAUUGUCAUUAUCCUUCCCCCUUGACAACAUAGAAAGGACUGAUUCACAUACGUAACCUGCAUGAUCAGAGGACAGGUAGACAGGUCCUCAUACGUAUGUGGUACCACCCAUUGUGGAAUAAUUUCUGCACAACAGAUAGUGUAACUAAUACCUCACGAGAGAUGGACUUACAUGUAGGGCCGUUCCUCGUUGUGUCACACCCUGAUCUGUUUCACCGGUCUUUGUGAUUGUCUCCACCCCCCUCCAGGUGUCACCUAUCUUCCCCACUAUCCCCUGUGUAUUUCUACCUGUGUUCUCUGUUUGUCUGUUGCCAGUUCGUCUUGUUUGUUCAAGCCAACCAGUAUUUUGUGUCUCAGCUCCUGCCUUUUCCAGUUUCUCGCCUUCUUGGUUUUGACCCUUGCCUGUCCUGUCUCCGAGCCCACCUGCCUGAGCACUCUGCCUGCCCCUGACCGUGAGCCUGCCUGCCAUCCGGUAUUGUUUCCCCACCUCUGGCUGCCUUAACCUGUCUAUUGCCUGCCCCUGUUGAGAUAUUAAACUAUUGUUUAUUUGACGUGGUUUGCAUCUGGGUCUUACCUUCAUACCUGAUGCAAUGAACAAAGAAUAGGUCUCAGUUAACCCAUAGUUUUACUCCAUGAUGUUUUAAACAACAUUCUAACCUGAAGGGGAAAUACGAUCCUGUUGAUAGACUCUUUUGGGGGAGAAUAUCAGCCUGGCUUUGAACUGGUCAAAAUUUCAUCCAUUUAAGUUAAGACCAUGGAGGAUGAAAUGAGCUCAACCUUCUUGCUUAAAAGCAGGGAGUAGAUGUGUGUGAAUACAAAACCACAUUUAUAAAUGUGGAUAUGUUUUUCACCAUGUAGAUACAACCAACUAACAUUCCCCUUUGGAUCACCCUUCCGUGGAUCUCUACUUCAUUAUUUAAGACAUUGUAUGUGUACAGAGAGAACUUGAAUUAGAGAAUGUAAAUAAUAAUCACUCUCACCAUAAGGUCAGGUUAAAUUGUUGACACUUUUGGUAACUUGUUACACAUAUAAACAACACUGGCAAAUAAACUAAUACUUAGACUUAACAAUAAAACAAUACAAGUAUUUUAUUUUUUCAACACAUGUCAUUUAUGAAUUAUGUCUUGAUAAUUAAUUCCCAAAUUGAAAUAAAAUCAGAUUUUCUAGAUUCAUGAUUGUUAGUUCGCUGCUUUUGGAGUGAGGGAAGUGGGUCUCCCUCUGCCAGGAGGUGAGGUUGGACAGGUUGAGGAAGGAGAUGGUCUGGAUGGUCUUUACAAGGCCCUUGUCAUCAGUCAGAACACAACUACUCCCCCUGGAGGACAAGAGAUGGAGGAGAGGGGAGAACAAAGUGGGAAAGGGGUGAAGAGAGAGGAAUAUGAAAAAUAUCAAAAUAAUGAUCGAAGAAUACUGCCAGUUAAACAUGAUGUAAAAUUCUUAAGACUGGACAUACUUAAACAAGGAGUGGACAAUCUUCGCCCCAUUAAUGACUAGUCCAUAAUGUCAUUAAUAGCUUUUUUGUCAUUUCUCCUAGCAUAUAGUGACAGAUGAAAGAAAGAAAGAAUGAUAGAGAUAAAAGGUGUAGAACCUCUCAGACUAUGGUCCACACCCGUUUCCUGACCAGCAUCACAGUGAUAAAGAUAGCCAGGUGACAUGGAAGAUCUGCAGAGAUGAGACAAUAGAAACGGACUGGGGGUGGGUGGUUGUGACUGUGUGCUGGUGUGUGUGUCUGUAAUACUACUAACCAAAGAUGUUGAGGCCACUGGAUGACGAUAUUGUUACCACCACACGGUCCUGUAAUCAAGGUGACAGACAGUGGCAAAUGCAAUACCGCUUUGCACACUCUUGCCUGCAUCUAGCUUAUCCAGGGUGUAUUCAUUAGUUUAAUGGUUGCAAACUAGAGUU